rnacentral:rRNA from 1 species
GAUGAACGCUGGCGGCGUGCCUAAUACAUGCAAGUCGAGCGAACGGACUAUAAGCUUUCUUCUCUGAUGUUAUCGGCUUACGUGUUAGUAACUCUUUGAUAACCUACCUAUAUUUCUGUUAUCACUUCGGGAAACCGUAUCUCAUACCGUCUAAUAUUUUGUACCUCAUGUUUCAAAUGUGUUAUACGGUCUUUCUUUCACUUUUAGAUGGAUCCUCGCUGCAUUAUCUAGUUGGUAAGGUAACGCCUUACCAAGGCAACGAUGCAUAGCCGACGUGAGAGGGUGAGCGGCCAAACUGGAACUGAGACACGGAACAGAGUCCUACGGGAGGAAGCAGAAGGGAAAAUUACGCAAUGGGAGAAAGGAUGACGGAGCAAAGCAGAGUGAGAGAUGAAGGUGAUCGGAUCGUAAAACUGUGUUAUUAGGGAAGAAAAUAUGUGUAAGUAAAUGAGCACAGAAUGACGGUAACUAAUAAGAAAGCAACGGCUAACUACGUG